CGCAGGCUGCCACAGAAGCACUGUGACUCAUGGGCCCUGUUCCCCCGUUGGGCCUCAGGGGUAAGUUUGGUCACAGACACCA